UGGAACGACAGAAGCAUACGUGUAGUGUACAACAGCACAAAAUAGAAGAACUUAAAGAGGGUAUUCAGCAAAGAGAUGAACUUAUUGAGGAAAACAAGUGUUUGCAGCAAAGGGUGGACACCCUCACCAGGGAUGUGUUUGAUCUGCAGGAAACUGUCAACUGGAAAGA